rnacentral:rRNA from 1 species
UACGUAGGGGGCAAGCGUUGUCCGGAUUUACUGGGCGUACAGCGCGCGCAGGCGGUUGCGUAUGUGAGCGGUGACAUCCGCGGGCUCAACCCGCGGCGGCCCGCUUACACAGCGCGACUGGAGGCAGGGAGAGGGAUGUGGAAUACCCGGUGGAGCGGUGAAAUGCGUAGAGAUCGGGUGGAACACCAGCGGCGAAGGCGGCAUCCUGGCCCUGUACUGACGCUCAUGCACGGAAGCGUGGGGAGCAAACAGG